GCAAAUCAAACUGAUGAGCAUCGCGAAGCGCGAAAUGAACUUGAACUGAAUCGAUAUCAAGAUAGAAAUGUUGUGUUUAAUCCCCACAAAGCUGCAUUCAGUUAUAAUGUGGCAAUUGAUUACAGUUCAGAGCAAAUUGUUGCUAUUGGACUAAUGAACAUUGUGUGUCCACAUUGGGAUUGAAAUUAAAAAAUUAAGCCUCUGGAUUGUGUUGCGCCAGCGGCCAAGUCAAAUUGACGCCAUUGGUACCGCCACCAGAGCCACUACAUUCAUUGGUUCAUUUUUUGACUCAUAUCCAGCAGUACAAUAAUUGCUUUCAAAUGACAUCAUUCGGGGCAACAAAAGUUAUACGAGACAAUUUUUUGCCCACUUUUAGCAAAUUCAGGGAUUCAAAUAUAUCAUCAAACAGGUUCCUUAUUGCCAGUGCCUGUUGAAGACUAUACAUUUUUGCAAAUAUAUUUUAUGGACAAUUCAGCAAGAAAAGUCGAUCAGCGUUGCGCACACAACAACUCAGUAAAGAGAUCCAUUGUGAUGAACAACUUCAAACAUUUUUCCUUCAACACAAUGAAUUAGUUGCAUUAGACCGAUGCAUUAGACAUUCACAAAUGCAUUAGACCGCAUGCCAUCAGAUAAUCACAAAAUUGUCAUCAGAGCCGAUAAGGCGCCUGCAGGACAGUGAAAUGAUUGAAUCCUAUGAAAUAAACACUAUUAUGAAAAUA